rnacentral:ncRNA from 1 species
CUGGUUGAUCCUGCCAGUAGUUAUAUGCUUGUCUCAAAGAUUAAGCCAUGCAUGUCUAAGUACACACAAAUUAACAGUGAAACCGCAAAAGGCUUAUUACAUCAGUUAUGGUUCCUUAGAUCGUUAACAGUUACUUGGAUAACUGUGGUAAUUCUAGAGCUAAUACAUGCAAUUAAAACACGGACCUUUUGGAACGUGUGCUUUUAUUAGGCUAAAACCAAGCGAUCGCAAGAUCGUUUUAUUGGUUGAACUCUAGAUAACAUGCAGAUCUUAUGGUCUUGUACCGACGACAGAUCUUUCAAAUGUCUGCCCUAUCAACUUUUGAUGGUAGUAUCUAGGACUACCAUGGUUGCAACGGGUAACGGGGAAUCAGGGUUCGAUUCCGGAGAGGGAGCCUGAGAAACGGCUACCACAUCUAAGGAAGGCAGCAGGCGCGUAAAUUACCCACUCCCAGCUCGUGGAGGUAGUGACGAAAAAUAACAAUACAGGACUCAUAUCCGAGGCCCUGUAAUUGGAAUAAGUACACUUUAAAUCCUUUAACAAGGACCUAUUGGAGGGCAAGUCUGGUGCCAGCAGCCGCGGUAAUUCCAGCUCCAAUAGCGUAUAUUAAAGUUGUUGCGGUUAAAACGUUCGUAGUUGAACUUGUGCUUCAUACGGGUAGUACAACUUACAAUUGUAGUUAGUACUAUACCUUUAUGUAUGUUAGCGUAUUACCGGUGGAGUUCUUAUAUUUUAUUAAAUACUUGUAUUUAUUUAUAUAUUCCUCCUAUUUAAAAACCUGCAUUAGUGCUCUUCAUCGAGUGUUAUUGUGGGCCGGUACAAUUUCUUUGAACAAAUUAGAGUGCUUAAAGCAGGCUUCAAAGGCCUGAAUAUUCUGUGCAUGGGAUAAUGAAAUAAGACCUCUGUUCUACUUUCAUUGGUUUUCAGAUCAAGAGGUAAUGAUUAAUAGAAGCAGUUUGGGGGCAUUAGUAUUACGACGCGAGAGGUGAAAUUCUUGGACCUUCGUAAGACAAACUUAAGCGAAAGCAUUUGACUGUGGAGAGUUGCCUUGCCGGCAUAAGUCAA